AUUAUACAUUAUAUACAAGAAAAAUGGACAUGUGGCUAUUAAUAAAGUUUAUUGAUUUGAUCAAAGGAUUAAAAAAUGUUAGUUGAUGUGAAUGAAAGUUGGUAAGGCCACUGUGAUAAUUUGAUGUUUUUUCUGAAAAAGCAAAAUAAAAUACUUUGUUCAGAACUCGUACUUAAAAAAUUAAGAAGAUUUGUACGAUUAUACAAAAUUGUUCACAGAAACAUCUAUUAAAGUAGGGCGAGUCGUUUGUUUUCAAAUUAGCAAGUAUAGAUCUAAGUGGAGUUAGAAAUAAUUGUGACAGAAUGAAAGUUUUUUCGGAGGCUGUCAUAUUAUCUUGGAUUUUAUUUACAUUAACUGAUGCCUUAAAUGAAGGUGAAUAUACGAUACAUCCUUUAAGCCAAGAUUGGGAUAAUGCCCAGAUAGUCUGUUACGCAAAUAGACGUUCUCUGGUACCUGACAUAGGUUUAGAAGAUUUCAAGAAGAGUGGGAUAUUUGAAGAUUUGGAAGCUGAGGAACUUGUCUGGCUAAAUGCCAAGGAUGUUAAGAUUGGCUAUCCAUCAAGGAGAUCCAUUCAUUUGAAGCUUGCUUACAUACCUGCAGAUUCCACGUUGACGGCUUAUCUUUGCCAUAAUGCAAAUAAUCAAGAAACAAAGAAAUAUGUUGAUAUGCCGGAUUUAUCUUGGGAUGAGGCCGACAAUAAAUGUGAAAGUUCUAGUGGCUGGACGCUUCUCAGUUUAUCAUCAGCUAAAAUACUAAAAGGGGCAGUGUCUCUGCUGAAAAGAGAUGUCCCAUUCUGGGUGGCUAACAUGAGCAAGAUUCCGGAUGUAGUUUCAGAAAAAUAUAACACUGAUGAGAUGUGUUUGGGUGUUAUGAAGAUGACAGAUGGUUCAUUGACAUACAGGAGGGACAACUGCACAGAAAAACACAAGUUUGUCAGUGUACCAUCUAUUAACAAUUUUGCUCUGGCUAUAACUAAAAUGACUAGACCACACCCACUUUUCUCCGGGGAGAUAGAGCCAGAUAUAGAGGAUGUAACUGUCAGUAUUACAACUGGUGAAAAUGACAUUGACAUUGAAGGAGAAUCACAUGAUAAUGAGAGUGAAAAUGAAGGUAUGCAUGGUGGAAUUGCAGGAGGAGCUGUGGGCGGAGUCAUAGUUAUAGUUUGUGUCAUUGUCGCUGUUUACUUUCUCCGAAGACGAUUGCGUAGUAGGAGAGACUAUCUCCGAAGUUUAAAAAGAUACACUCAGAAGCAUGCAAGUUCAAGGGGAUUGCUGAGCCAUACAAUGUCAGCAGGCAACACUUUGGCACAGGGCAAUACUUUAUCAGGGGACACUACUCUAUCAAGGUCUCCUUGUAAACCUGACAGCGACAUGUCUAAACAGAAUGACAAUGAUGCUAUGCAAGCAGAAUAUGAGGAAUUUGAGAGACGCAAGUAUGCUGAUUGUCAGAACGAUGUUGUACGAGACAUAAAGACCCGCUAUGCCAAAUAUCCAGGCCCGCUGUCAGCUAAUGCAGGACUGGAUAUGUUACCUGCUUAUCAUUCAAUGAAUGGAAAUAAUACUUUUAAGGUAUUACCAGCAUAUGAAAGAUAUGACCCUGACCCUGGCCGUCUUCAUGGUUAUGUGAACAAAGAGAGCCAUGAUCAGCUAUCUGCACAGGAGCAGUAUGACACCGUUCCAAAACUUCCAAAAAAAUCAGGGAAAAAACCAAACAUUAAUGACCUUGACACGUAUGAGAACCAAACAACAGGAAAUAUGAGCAUUAUGGGUAAUAAUGAAGAAGGCAAGCACUUGGGCGAUCCUGAUAAAAAGAUAUGCAGUCUGAAUGAAUUGGAGGAAUAUGAAAAUUACAAGGUACCAAAGAGAGAAAAAGGACUGUUUCGAAUGUUUAAAACUGAUAAGGCUAAUAAAGCCAAGAAAGACCAAAGAAAGUUCGAGGGACAAGAAGAACCUGCUUCAUUGAAUGAUUUGCAAGCAUAUGAAAGCAUUGAGUCACCAUUGACCGCAGUGAAAGAAAUUUCACCAUCGACUGCAGUGAAAGAGAUCAAAGGACUUUCUGACUUAGAUGCUUACGAAAAUCUUGCUGUAAAGAAGAUUUAAACGAAGAGCUUUUUCUAUGUUUUGUUUAUCUUGCCGUGUAAUUUUUUACAGUGGUAAAUGCAGAUUGUCAGGAGAAUUCAGUACAUGUAUAUUGAUUUUGAACUCGUAAACUGUGCAAAUGAUAUUUCCUAGGUUAGGAUUUUCAUUAAGAAGGAAAGUAAAUCUCAUCUAGCUUAAUCCAUAAGAGUGGACUUUAAGUCCAAGUUAAAAGAAGUCUUAGAAUUACCCUUUUAUUACAUACUUCCUAAAAUCUUAACUGAGGUUAAGUGCCUGCAAUGUUAUACAUGAUUACCUUUGAAUGCUGAUUUGUUCUUGGAAAAUGUUGCAGUACUAAUGACAUAGUGUAACACGUGUUUAGAUUAAUUAAUUGAUGAGAAUUUAGAUUUACUUUUCUUACUUAAGAGAAAGACAAUGUUUUUCUAAUACAUGCUACUGAAGGAAACAUUUGUUUGACAAUCCAUCUAUCUAUAUAAAUUGUAAGUAUGUACAAGUUACCUUUUUUUACAAAGUGAAUUGUUUACAACUUUAAGAAAUAGCCAUGUCAUUGCAUUUUCCAUUUUAACCGAAAACUACAAUAGGUUAGGACACUGUCAAUUUAUUAAACAAUGUCAUUUGACUUCAGUAAUCUCCACUUCCUGAACAUCAGGAAUAGAUAAACCAAGUACGGAUCAGCUUCUAUAAGAUGAAAACAGUUAUAAAAUUUACUGACAAAAAAGUUUUUACUGUGUUUGUUAAGUAAUACAAUGUGUCAGCAUUUUUAAAGAUUCUGAAUUAAGAAAAUAGGUUACAUUUUUCACCCACAAAACUUUAAUACUGUACUAGUACUUUAUAAUUUGAUUGACCAGUACAAAAAGGUCAAGUCACUUAACGGCAUUUUCAGAGUUUAUGACCUAAGCAGUUAGUCGAAUGACUUUUAGACUUUUAGACUAAUUAUGAUCGAUGGUUUCCCUUAAUGGACUUUGAUAAUUAAACCAGUUUCUUGAUGGUCAUGAUCUUCAGCUUAUUGCUUUUGGGGCUAUGCAUUUUUCCAAUCAUAUUUUCUUGGAAAUUAAUUUUUUGACAUUGUUUUUUAUUCUCUUUUUUUAUAUGAUGGAAUGUGAGUUGUGUAAAUAGAUUGUGAG